rnacentral:rRNA from 1 species
UUAGGCGUAGGCGAUGGACAACAGGUUGAUAUUCCUGUACCAGUUGCUUUUGUUUGAGCGAUGGAGGGACGCAGGAGGCUAAGGAAUGCACACGAUCGGAAAUGUGUGUCCAAGCAGCAAGUCUGAGAACGAGUGAAAUGCUUUUUCUCUCAAGGACAAGCUGUGAUGGGGAGCGAAAUUUAGUAGCGAAGUUCCUGAUGUCACACUGCCAAGAAAAGCUUCUAGUGAGAAAGUAACUGCCCGUACCGCAAACCGACACAGGUAGUUGAGGAGAGAAUCCUAAGGUGUGCGAGAGAACUCUCGUUAAGGAACUCGGCAAAAUGACCCCGUAACUUCGGGAGAAGGGGUGCUGACCGCAAGGUCAGCCGCAGUGAAUAGGCCCAAGCGACUGUUUAUCAAAAACACAGGUCUCUGCAAAAUCGAAAGAUGACGUAUAGGGGCUGACGCCUGCCCGGUGCUGGAAGGUUAAGAGGAGAGGUUAGCGCAAGCGAAGCUUUGAAUUGAAGCCCCAGUAAACGGCGGCCGUAACUAUAACGGUCCUAAGGUAGCGAAAUUCCUUGUCGGGUAAGUUCCGACCCGCACGAAAGGCGUAACGAUUUGGGCACUGUCUCAACGAGAGACUCGGUGAAAUUAUAGUACCAGUGAAGAUGCUGGUUACCCGCGACAGGACGGAAAGACCCCAUGGAGCUUUACUGCAGUUUGAUAUUGCGUGUUUGUAUCACAUGUACAGGAUAGGUAGGAGCCGAAGAUACCGGGACGCCAGUCUCGGAGGAGGCAACGGUGGGAUACUACCCUUGUGAUAUGACCACUCUAACCCGCUGCUCUUAGCGAGCAGGGAGACAGUGUCAGACGGGCAGUUUGACUGGGGCGGUCGCCUCCAAAAAUGUAACGGAGGCGCCCAAAGGUCCCCUCAGAAUGGUUGGAAAUCAUUCGUAGAGUGUAAAGGCAGAAGGGAGCUUGACUGCGAGACCUACAAGUCGAGCAGGGACGAAAGUCGGGCUUAGUGAUCCGGUGGUUCCGCAUGGAAGGGCCAUCGCUCAACGGAUAAAAGCUACCCUGGGGAUAACAGGCUUAUCUCCCCCAAGAGUUCACAUCGACGGGGAGGUUUGGCACCUCGAUGUCGGCUCAUCGCAUCCUGGGGCUGUAGUCGGUCCCAAGGGUUGGGCUGUUCGCCCAUUAAAGCGGUACGCGAGCUGGGUUCAGAACGUCGUGAGACAGUUCGGUCCCUAUCCGUCGCGGGCGUUGGAAAUUUGAGAGGAGCUGUCCUUAGUACGAGAGGACCGGGAUGGACACACCGCUGGUGUACCAGUUGUUCUACCAAGAGCAUCGCUGGGUAGUUAUGUGUGGACGGGAUAAACGCUGAAAGCAUCUAAGCGUGAAGCCCCCCUCAAGAUGAGAUUUCCCAUCACUUUAAGUGAGUAAGACCCCUGAGAGAUGAUUAGGUAGAUAGGUUGGGAGUGGAAGUACAGCGAUGUAUGGAGCGGACCAAUACUAAUCGGUCGAGGACUUAACC